UACGUAGGGGGCGAGCGUUGUCCGGAUUUAUUGGGCGUAAAACGCUUGUAGGCGGCCACAUCGCGUCGUGCGUGAAAUCUCCCGGCUCAACUGGGAGGGGUCGUGCGAUACGGAUGGGCUCGAGGCCGGUAGGGGGACGCGGAAUUCCCGGUGUAGCGGUGAAAUGCGCAGAUAUCGGGAAGAACACCCGUGGCGAAGGCGGUUCUCUGGGACGGUACUGACGCUGAGACGCGAAAGCGUGGGGAGCGAACAGG
rnacentral:rRNA from 1 species